GACGAACGCUGGCGGCGUGCUUAACACAUGCAAGUCGAACGGAGAGGCCUGCUUUCCCUUGUGGAUUGCGGGUACUCGAGUGGCGAACGGGUGAGUAACACGUGAGUGAUCUGCCCCCAACUUGGGUAUAAGCCUGGGAAACUGGGUCUAAUUCCCGAUAGGACUGCAGGGUGGUGCCUGUGGUGGAAAACGAUUUUCUAGUGGUUGGGGAUGAGCUCGCGGCCUAUCAGCUUGUUGGUGGGGUAAUGGCCUACCAAGGCGGCGACGGGUAGCCGGCCUGGGAGGGUGGACGGCCACAUUGGGACUGAGAUACGGCCCAGACUCCUACGGGAGGCAGCAGUGGGGAAUAUUGCACAAUGGGCGGAAGCCUGAUGCAGCGACGCCGCGUGGGGGAUGACGGCCUUCGGGUUGUAAACUCCUUUCGACCGCGAGGAAGCCACCUGGUUGGAAGGGUGGUGACGGUAGUGGUAGAAGAAGCACCGGCUAACUACGUG
rnacentral:rRNA from 1 species